rnacentral:rRNA from 1 species
UUUAUGGAGAGUUUGAUCCUGGCUCAGGAUGAACGCUGGCGGCGUGCCUAAUACAUGCAAGUCGAGCGAACGGACGAGAAGCUUGCUUCUCUGAUGUUAGCGGCGGACGGGUGAGUAACACGUGGAUAACCUACCUAUAAGACUGGGAUAACUUCGGGAAACCGGAGCUAAUACCGGAUAAUAUUUUGAACCGCAUGGUUCAAAAGUGAAAGACGGUCUUGCUGUCACUUAUAGAUGGAUCCGCGCUGCAUUAGCUAGUUGGUAAGGUAACGGCUUACCAAGGCAACGAUGCAUAGCCGACCUGAGAGGGUGAUCGGCCACACUGGAACUGAGACACGGUCCAGACUCCUACGGGAGGCAGCAGUAGGGAAUCUUCCGCAAUGGGCGAAAGCCUGACGGAGCAACGCCGCGUGAGUGAU